UCCCCCCAAAGUCGAAUUGGGAGGUUGUGCCCUUGAGGCGUGGCUUCCGGAGCUAACGCGUUAAGUCGACCGCCUGGGGAGUACGGCCGCAAGGUUAAAACUCAAAUGAAUUGACGGGGGCCCGCACAAGCGGUGGAGCAUGUGGUUUAAUUCGAUGCAACGCGAAGAACCUUACCUGGUCUUGACAUCCACAGAACUUACCAGAGAUGCAUUGGUGCCUUCGGGAACUGUGAGACAGGUGCUGCAUGGCUGUCGUCAGCUCGUGUUGUGAAAUGUUGGGUUAAGUCCCGCAACGAGCGCAACCCUUAUCCUUUGUUGCCAGCGGUUCGGCCGGGAACUCAAAGGAGACUGCCGGUGAUAAACUGGAGGAAGGUGGGGAUGACGUCAAGUCAUCAUGGCCCUUACGACCAGGGCUACACACGUGCUACAAUGGCACAUACAAAGAGAAGCGACCUCGCGAGAGCAAGCGGACCUCAUAAAGUGUGUCGUAGUCCGGAUUGGAGUCUGCAACUCGACUCCAUGAAGUCGGAAUCGCUAGUAAUCGUAGAUCAGAAUGCUACGGUGAAUACGUUCCCGGGCCUUGUACACACCGCCCGUCACACCAUGGGAGUGGGUUGCAAAAGAAGUAGGUAGCUUAACCUUCGGGAGGGCGCUUACCACUUUGUGAUUCAUGACUGGGGUGAAGUCUAAGAGGGGGAAAAAAAAAA
rnacentral:rRNA from 1 species